UACGAAGGGGGCUAGCGUUGCUCGGAAUUACUGGGCGUAAAGCGUGCGCAGACGGUUGCGUAAGUCAGAUGUGAAAGCCCCGGGCUCAACCUGGGAAUUGCAUUUGAGACUGCGUAGCUAGGGUGCGGAAGAGGGAAGCGGAAUUUCCGGUGUAGCGGUGAAAUGCGUAGAUAUCGGAAGGAACACCAGUGGCGAAAGCGGCUUCCUGGUCCAGCACCGACGUUCAGGCACGAAAGCGUGGGGAGCAAACAGG
rnacentral:rRNA from 1 species